GAUGAACGCUGGCGGCGUGCCUAAUACAUGCAAGUCGAGCGAACGGACGAGAAGCUUGCUUCUCUGAUGUUAGCGGCGGACGGGUGAGUAACACGUGGAUAACCUACCUAUAAGACUGGGAUAACUUCGGGAAACCGGAGCUAAUACCGGAUAAUAUUUUGAACCGCAUGGUUCAAAAGUGAAAGACGGUCUUGCUGUCACUUAUAGAUGGAUCCGCGCUGCAUUAGCUAGUUGGUAAGGUAACGGCUUACCAAGGCAACGAUGCAUAGCCGACCUGAGAGGGUGAUCGGCCACACUGGAACUGAGACACGGUCCAGACUCCUACGGGAGGCAGCAGUAGGGAAUCUUCCGCAAAGGGCGAAAGCCUGACGGAGCAACGCCGCGUGAGUGAUGAAGGUCUCCGGAUCGUAAAACUCUGUUAUUAGGGAAGAACAUAUGUGUAAGUAACUGUGCACAUCUUGACGGUACCUAAUCAGAAAGCCACGGCUAACUACGUG
rnacentral:rRNA from 1 species